UACGAAGGGGGCUAGCGUUGUUCGGAAUUACUGGGCGUAAAGCGUGCGCAGGCGGCUUCUCAAGUCAGGGGUGAAAGCCCAGAGCUCAACUCUGGAAUUGCCUUUGAGACUGAGUGGCUUGAGUACGAGAGAGGUGAGUGGAAUUCCCAGUGUAGAGGUGAAAUUCGUAGAUAUUGGGAAGAACACCGGUGGCGAAGGCGGCUCACUGGCUCGUAACUGACGCUCAUGCACGACAGCGUAGGGAUCAAACAGG
rnacentral:rRNA from 1 species